UUAGAGUUUGAUCCUGGCUCAGAACGAACGCUGGCGGCGUGCCUAACACAUGCAAGUCGUACGAGAAAUCCUGGGCAACUGGGAAAGUAAAGUGGCGCACGGGUGAGUAACGCGUGGGUAACCUACCCCUGGAUUUGGGAUAACUCCGCGAAAGCGGGGUUAAUACCGGAUAAUAUGUCGAUUCCCACGGGAGUUGACAUCAAAGGUGGCCUCUGCAUGCAAGCUACUGUCCAAGGAUGGGCCCGCGUACCAUUAGCUUGUUGGCAGGGUAAUGGCCUACCAAGGCAACGAUGGUUAGCUGGUCUUGGGGGAUGGCCAGCCACACUGGAACUGAGACACGGUCCAGACUCCUACGGGAGGCAGCAGUGGGGAAUCUUGCGCAAUGGGGGAAACCCUGACGCAGCAACGCCGCGUGGGUGAUGAAGGCCUUCGGGUCGUAAAGCCCUGUCAGGUGGGAAGAAACACAUCGGUGCGAAUAUCACCGAUGUUGACGUACCGCCGAGAAGCACCGCA
rnacentral:rRNA from 1 species